GGUAGAGUAGCAUUUUGACCUGUGACAUCCGAUAGGAUAAAAAAAAAAGCAAUUGCCCCAGUCCUUGGAGCGUCGCCUCGGCCGCACUCCCUAGAACCUUCUUCUUCUCCCGUAUACGAGCCUUCUCUAGCAGCUCCGGUAUGGCGGAGGAUUCGCCGGAGCAGCAGCAGCGGAGCGUGGAGGCGAGGGAGACCGUAGAGCUGACGGAGAAGGAGGAGCGGAUUUUCCGGAGGCUUCUUGAUGUCGUCCGCCACUUGGACCUCGCCACGCAGCUGCGCGUCGCCGGUGCCUUCCUCCGCGGUACGACCUGGACGCCAAGUGGGACGCCUGCCUCGACCUCUCCAUCCGCCGCAUCGCCUACUCCUCCCUCGCCGGCGCCUUCGCAAGCCUCCUCCUCUUCCGACAGAGACCCGGCAGUCCUCUAUGUUUUGGUGCAAUGAACAACGCUGAUAGUGCUACUUUGGUGCUGGAUGGGUGGAUACGUCUGUUAAUUUAGGGUUAUUGCGGAUGCUCGUGUUCCAUUUUUGAUCGGACAGGCUACAUAGGCUGCGCACGUCCAAGUGAUUCUGUCAGUUUGUGGAUCAAUGCGUGUAUGAACCGGUUGCUUUAGGGCAUUGCAGAGAAAUUGUUUUGACUAUCUGCGGUUAUUAGGAAGUCACAUUUGUCGGAAUUGAGUUAUAUAUUGUGAGUUAUAUACGGGUAUCAGGAUUUGCAAGUAUUGUGUGAAGUUGCAAGAGGGCAAGUGAAAUUUCCUUAAGUUCAUUUACUGUGUGACAUAGAGAGAGCACUGCAUUAUGAAUAAGCUGCAAGAUGAGGAAAUUAAACCAAAUGCGAGGAGGCUCGGGUGUUUUUUGAUCUGCUUGUCAUUGAUGUAGGGAGGCUGAGCUUCGUAUUAGGUUUGUCAUGGCUCUCUCUGGUUGGCAACAACUUGUUUGCUUACUCUUAAGUUCAUCAGACUUGGUGUGGACAGAGCUUGUUGUUUGAUGAUUAUUUUUUAUGGAUGCUCUAUCCUAGAGGUUUUAGGGUUUUCUGUGGGAUUUCUCUCAUGUUAUCACCAGAAACCAAUUGUAUUCCAGUGCACUUGGAGAAAGUAAAGCAAUUUCCCUGUGAGAAAAUUAUGGUUGUCAUUAUGGAGGCUUCCAGGGAUCUUGCACGAAAUGUUAUGCCGAAGUCAGAGACAUUGGCAAAGAUCCAAGUCUAUUUGAGCUUAUCCACAAACCAAGAGGUGCUGAUGGAGGCGGUUGCUCUUGCCAAGGUUAAAAUGAGAGUUAACGACGAUUAUAAAUAUUUGCAGUUUUACCAAGAUCCAGUCAAAAUUUUAAAACUUUAAC